UACGUAGGUGGCGAGCGUUGUCCGGAUUUACUGGGGCGUAAAGGGAGCGUAGGCGGAUUUUUAAGUGAGAUGUGAAAUACCCGGGCUCAACUUGGUGCUGCAUUUCAAACUGGAAGUCUAGAGUGCAGGAGAGGAGAGUGGAAUUCCUAGUGUAGCGGUGAAAUGCGUAGAGAUUAGGAAGAACACGAGGCGGAAGCGACUC
rnacentral:rRNA from 1 species